rfam:Eimeria mitis, Houghton, WGS project CBTT01000000 data, contig: Emh_scaff3367_1
CACCGCCCGUCGCUGCAACCGAUAGGAGGGUCCUGUUAAUUCAUCGGACUGGCCAACCCCUUUUUGGGGCUGGCCGGGAAGUUGCUCAAAUAGAGCCCUCUAAAGGAUGCAGAAGUCGUAACACGGUUUCCGUAGGUGAACCUGCGGAAG